rnacentral:rRNA from 1 species
AUUGAACGCUGGCGGCACGCCUUACGCAUGCAAGUCGAACGGCAGCACGGAGCUUGCUCUGGUGGCGAGUGGCGAACGGGUGAGUAAUAUAUCGGAACGUACCCUGGAGUGGGGGAUAACGUAGCGAAAGUUACGCUAAUACCGCAUACGAUCUAAGGAUGGAAGUGGGGGAUCGCAAGACCUCAUGCUCGUGGAGCGGCCGAUAUCUGAUUAGCUAGUUGGUAGGGUAAAAGCCUACCAAGGCAUCGAUCAGUAGCUGGUCUGAGAGGACGACCAGCACACUGGAACUGAGACACGGUCCAGACCCCUACGGGAGGCAGCAGUGGGGAAUUUUGGACAAUGGGCGAAAGCCUGAUCCAGCAAUGCCGCGUGAGUGAAGAAGGCCUUCGGGUUGUAAAGCUCUUUUGUCAGGGAAGAAACGGUGAGAGCUAAUAUCUCUUGCUAAUGACGGUACCUGAAGAAUAAGCACCGGCUAACUACGUGCCAGCAGCCGCGGUAAUACGUAGGGUGCAAGCGUUAAUCGGAAUUACUGGGCGUAAAGCGUGCGCAGGCGGUUUUGUAAGUCUGAUGUGAAAUCCCCGGGCUCAACCUGGGAAUUGCAUUGGAGACUGCGAGGCUAGAAUCUGGCAGAGGGGGGUAGAAUUCCACGUGUAGCAGUGAAAUGUGUAGAUAUGUGGAGGAACACCGAUGGCGAAGGCAGCCCCCUGGGUCAAGAUUGACGCUCAUGCACGAAAGCGUGGGGAGCAAACAGGAUUAGAUACCCUGGUAGUCCACGCCCUAAACGAUGUCUACUAGUUGUCGGGUCUUAAUUGACUUGGUAACGCAGCUAACGCGUGAAGUAGACCGCCUGGGGAGUACGGUCGCAAGAUUAAAACUCAAAGGAAUUGACGGGGACCCGCACAAGCGGUGGAUGAUGUGGAUUAAUUCGAUGCAACGCGAAAAACCUUACCUACCCUUGACAUGGCUGGAAUCCUCGAGAGAUUGAGGAGUGCUCGAAAGAGAACCAGUACACAGGUGCUGCAUGGCUGUCGUCAGCUCGUGUCGUGAGAUGUUGGGUUAAGUCCCGCAACGAGCGCAACCCUUGUCAUUAGUUGCUACGAAAGGGCACUCUAAUGAGACUGCCAGUGACAAACCGGAGGAAGGUGGGGAUGACGUCAAGUCCUCAUGGCCCUUAUGGGUAGGGCUUCACACGUCAUACAAUGGUACAUACAGAGCGCCGCCAACCCGCGAGGGGGAGCUAAUCGCAGAAAGUGUAUCGUAGUCCGGAUUGUAGUCUGCAACUCGACUGCAUGAAGUUGGAAUCGCUAGUAAUCGCGGAUCAGCAUGUCGCGGUGAAUACGUUCCCGGGUCU